UACGUAGGGGGCGAGCGUUGUCCGGAGUUACUGGGCGUAAAGCGCACGCAGGCGGUCUGCUAAGUUUGGAGUGACAGUUGGUGGCUUAACUGCCAAAGUGCUUCGAAAACUGACAGACUUGAGGGCUUCAGAGGGACACGGAAUUCCGGGUGGAGUGGUGAAAUGCGUAGAGAUCCGGAGGAACACCAAAGGCGAAGGCAGUGUCCUGGGGAGUACCUGACGCUGAGGAGCGAAAGUGUGGGGAGCGAACAGG
rnacentral:rRNA from 1 species